AUUGAACGCUGGCGGCAGGCCUAACACAUGCAAGUCGAACGAGUGGCGGACGGGUGAGUAAUGUCUGGGAAACUGCCCGAUGGAGGGGGAUCACUACUGGCAACGGUAGCUAAUACCGCAUACCAUCGGAUUUGCCCAGAUGGUAUUCUCUAGUAGGUGGGGUAACGGCUCACCUAGGCGACGAUCCCUAGCUGGUCUGAGAGGAUGACCAGCCACACGGGAACUGAGACACGGUCCAGACUCCUACGGGAGGCAGCAGUGGGGAAUAUGGCACAAUGGGCGCAAGCCUGAUGCAGCCAUGCCGCGUGUAUGAAGAAGGCCGUCGGGUUGUAAAGUACUUUCAGCGAGGAGGCGUUACUCGCAGAAGAAGAACCGGCUAACUCCGUGCCAGCAGCCGCGGUAAUUC
rnacentral:rRNA from 1 species